UACGGAGGGGGCGAGCGUUAUUCGGAAUUAUUGGGCGUAAAGGGCGCGUAGGCGGCUUCGUAAGUCAAAGGUGAAAUCCCUCGGCUCAACUGAGGAACUGCCUUUGAAACUGUGAGGCUUGAGGCCGGGAGGGGGUAGCGGAAUUCCCAGUGUAGCGGUGAAAUGCGUAGAUAUUGGGAGGAACACCAGUGGCGAAGGCGGCUACCUGGACCGGUUCUGACGCUGAGGCGCGAAAGCGUGGGUAGCAAACAGG
rnacentral:rRNA from 1 species